GCCUAACACAUGCAAGUCGAACGGCAGCACAGGAGAGCUUGCUCUCUGGGUGGCGAGUGGCGGACGGGUGAGGAAUACAUCGGAAUCUACUCUGUCGUGGGGGAUAACGUAGGGAAACUUACGCUAAUACCGCAUACGACCUACGGGUGAAAGCAGGGGAUCUUCGGACCUUGCGCGAUUGAAUGAGCCGAUGUCGGAUUAGCUAGUUGGCGGGGUAAAGGCCCACCAAGGCGACGAUCCGUAGCUGGUCUGAGAGGAUGAUCAGCCACACUGGAACUGAGACACGGUCCAGACUCCUACGGGAGGCAGCAGUGGGGAAUAUUGGACAAUGGGCGCAAGCCUGAUCCAGCCAUACCGCGUGGGUGAAGAAGGCCUUCGGGUUGUAAAGCCCUUUUGUUGGGAAAGAAAUCCAGCUGGCUAAUACCCGGUUGGGAUGACGGUACCCAAAGAAUAAGCACCGGCUAACUUCGUGCCAGCAGCCGCGGUAAUACGAAGGGUGCAAGCGUUACUCGGAAUUACUGGGCGUAAAGCGUGCGUAGGUGGUCGUUUAAGUCCGUUGUGAAAGCCCUGGGCUCAACCUGGGAACUGCAGUGGAUACUGGGCGACUAGAGUGUGGUAGAGGGUAGCGGAAUUCCUGGUGUAGCAGUGAAAUGCGUAGAGAUCAGGAGGAACAUCCAUGGCGAAGGCAGCUACCUGGAC
rnacentral:rRNA from 1 species